rnacentral:lncRNA from 1 species
GUCGAGUUGGCAUGUUGUUCCAUCCGAUCGGAGUCAAGUCGGCAUGUUGUUCCGUCCGAUCGGAGUCGAGUUGGCAUGUUGUUCCGUCUGAUCGUAGUUGAGUUGGUAUGUUGUUCCAUUCGAUCGAAGUCAAAUCGGUAUGUUGUUCCAUCCGACCAUAGUCAAGUCGGUAUGUUGUUCCAUCAGACCAUAGCCAAAUCGACAUACUGUUCUGUUCGACCAUAGUCGAGUCAGCAUGUUGUUCCAUCCGAUCGGAGUCGAGUUGGCAUGUUGUUCCAUCCGACCAUAGUCGAACCGACAUAUUGGUCCUC